UGGGGAAUUUUGGACAAUGGGCGAAAGCCUGAUCCAGCAAUGCCGCGUGUGUGAAGAAGGCCUUCGGGUUGUAAAGCACUUUUGUCCGGAAAGAAAUCCUUGGCUCUAAUACAGUCGGGGGAUGACGGUACCGGAAGAAUAAGCACCGGCUAACUACGUGCCAGCAGCCGCGGUAAUACGUAGGGUGCAAGCGUUAAUCGGAAUUACUGGGCGUAAAGCGUGCGCAGGCGGUUUGCUAAGACCGAUGUGAAAUCCCCGGGCUCAACCUGGGAACUGCAUUGGUGACUGGCAGGCUAGAGUAUGGCAGAGGGGGGUAGAAUUCCACGUGUAGCAGUGAAAUGCGUAGAGAUGUGGAGGAAUACCGAUGGCGAAGGCAGCCCCCUGGGCCAAUACUGACGCUCAUGCACGAAAGCGUGGGGAGCAAACAGGAUUAGAUACCCCUGGUAGUCCCACGCCCUAAACGAUGUCAACUAGUUGUUGGGGAUUCAUUCCUUAGUAACGUAGCUAACGCGUGAAGUU
rnacentral:rRNA from 1 species